rnacentral:lncRNA from 1 species
CAGAGCUGAGCUCACAAAAAUGAUUGAUGAGGCACCGAAUAUGGAAUCUCCCACUUUAAAUUAAGAAACGCAACACGGAGGCAAUGAGAAAAAUACUCCCUGGCCAUAUGUGGCCUCUUAGUGGCCGGACUCCUCUACACACCCUCAUUUUGUCCCUUGCCCACCCCAUCCCUGGGGGCCAUGUGGCUCUGGGCUCCCCAGGUUCUGUGUCUGGAGAAGGAGAUAAUCAGGUCUCCCAGGCAGGGGCACCCCGAGGCCCCACAGGGGCAGCAAUGGAAGCUGGGCACUUGCUCUGCGAAGUGACACCCACUGACUGCACAAGGACCAAGGCUCCCUGUUGAGUUCCCACCGCCCCCCAGCCUAGAGAGAGGUGGCAUCCAUGUGGGGAGCCAGCGAUCCCCAGCCUUUUGGAAAAGGUGAG